rnacentral:rRNA from 1 species
CCUACGGGGGGCUGCAGUGGGGAAUAUUGGACAAUGGGGGGAACCCUGAUCCAGCCAUGCCGCGUGUAUGAAGAAGGCCCUCGGGUUGUAAAGCACUUUCAGUGAGGAAGAACGCCUGGUGGUUAAUACCCAUCAGGAAAGACAUCACUCACAGAAGAAGCACCGGCUAACUCCGUGCCAGCAGCCGCGGUAAUACGGAGGGUGCGAGCGUUAAUCGGAAUUACUGGGCGUAAAGCGCGCGUAGGUGGCUUGAUAAGCCGGUUGUGAAAGCCCCGGGCUCAACCUGGGAACGGCAUCCGGAACUGUCAAGCUAGAGUGCAGGAGAGGAAGGUAGAAUUUCCGGUGUAGCGGUGAAAUGCGUAGAGAUCGGGAGGAAUACCAGUGGCGAAGGCGGCCUUCUGGACUGACACUGACACUGAGGUGCGAAAGCGUGGGUAGCAAACAGGAUUAGAUACCCCUGUAGUC